GGGGAGGCAGCAGGAAGGGGCUGCUCCUCCACGGACACCACUUGUGCCCCAUGGAAAGCCCAGGAGGUGCUUGCUGGGCUGAGCUAGGGGCUGUGCCCAGAGUGGUGGGCACAAGGAACCUGUCUCCGUUGCCUGGGGCCUCUCCUUGUCCCACAGGAGGAUGCUGAGCUCUGACAGACCCUGGUGAUCCAGUUCUGCCUUUCACAGGACUUCCACUCCUGAAUCAUGCAUUUAUAUGGCCUGACAUGGUCCACCCCAUCCUGUCCCUGCACAGUGUGGCCUGGAGCCCUUUGAGGUGCUUCCUUGGAGCCCAGAGCCCCAGCUCCCACCAGCCUUGUCCUCCUGUCACCAUGGUUUUAUAAGAUUUUCUAAGUCUUCUGAUGUUGAUAUUCUAGUAGCAAACUUUCUCACACACUUUCUGUAAAUAACUCAUUGUUUUGCAUUCCUUUAUGGAGGAUGAGAAAGUUGAUGGAGUGUUGGUCUGUCCAGUGUCAUUGGAGAGGUGGCACUGUCACCGUCCAUUCCACUGUCACUCUUGGGAAAUUAUAAAUGUUGGAGUCAGAAAAUAAACUUCCCUUUUUUCUUCCCCUUGAGAACAGCUUGUGCGCAAUUCGUGUCCGACAGCGACACCCUCCUGCAAAGCUGUCCCUCCCUAUACCAACAGAGGAGUCGCCUGUGGAAGCUGGAUGGGCUGCCUGGAGCCCAGCCCACCUCAGCCACUCUGCCUGCAUGGAGCUGUUGACAACACAGAACCAGAACCAGGCCCUGAGGCCCAGAGCUGGCACGAGCACCCUGGGGCAUCACCUGGAGCUGCUGGCCAAGGAUGUGGGAGGUCCUGCAGUGCCAGGCCACUUCCUGGUGAAUCUGCUCCCCACACACUUCCCAGUGUGGAGAAGAACCUACUGUGGCCUGGCCUUCCUUUUUCCCUGAUGCCUGGGUGCCCUGCCCCAUUUGCCAGCUGCCCUUUGGCAUGGCAGAGGGGGAGCAGCAUGCCAGCAACUGCAGGGAGACACCAGGGGCCCUGUCCUCAGCCCAGUGCCUGCAGUAGGACAGCAGAGCUGGGGACAAACCCUGUGUGACCACCCCUGAGGGCUGAACCUGCAGCACUCCAAGAGGCAGACACACUGCAGCCCCUUGAACAUCUGUGGCAAGGCUGGUGUGAGGAUGGAGAAGGUGCUUCCAGCUCCAUGGCCAGAUUUGGUGGGAUUUGAAGCACUGUAAUGGCAGGGGUUGGUACUGGAGAAGAGUAAGUUCAAGGAGAAAAGUAAGAAAGACAGAAAUCUGCACAAUGACUGCUUGGUGGUACUGCAGGGUCCGUGGGUG
rnacentral:lncRNA from 1 species